rnacentral:lncRNA from 1 species
ACCGAGCCAUGGAGAGAGGCAGACGUGUGGUCAACCCCAGCCAUGGCGCUCGCGCCGUUGACGAGUGGGACCCCAUCUGCUGUCUCGGCGAGGCUCUCGUGUAGAGCCGAUGUAGGGCCGUGUUGUGUAUGGAGGCCGGCCCAGAAAGGGUUGGUGCCUGCCACGGCCAACGCAGGCGCAACGGCAGUCCACGUACGCAUUGUCCACGACCGGUGAUGCCAUCCGUCGGCAUGGUCAAUGGGCGAUGUGAUGACAAACACAUGCGCCAGGAGCGCGCCGGCCGCGCAGCCCUUGAGCGAUGAGCCGUGCACGGCAAUGUCCCGCAGUCGACGGCACAUCUCACCGAGUGCACUGCCAACCAAGGGUUGGCUGCGCAGCGCAUGACUGCGCAGGACAUUGUCCACCAGACCGUCGACGCGCACACGAUCCAAAAGACGUGCCGCUCGCGCAUCGUCGUCGCCAUCUUGGCUGUCGGCCGAUCGGGGUGGGUCGGUCGGAUGGCGCGCUUGAUCGAGACUGCACACCAGCGUCAGAAUCAGGCGGACACGCGCGAGAGACGCGCGCUUGCCGGGGUCUGUCGGCUCGGGAAUCCGUUGUCCCCGUUCGGCAAAGCGGCGGCCCGUGGCAACGUUGGUCGCAGCGAUUUGGAACGCCAGCGUCAGGAGCAGGUCCGACCCGAGCCUGCCGGCCGCCGCGGCCAGUCCCAUAGCCGAUAGCCACGUGUCGGUGGUGGCGAGGUCGGCCGCCUUGCCAUCCUCGGCGCCCAUGGCACCGGCCAGCCACGCGCUCACGCGACUCGCGCUAGCCGCGCGCUUGACAAACCCGCCCGAGCGACUAUAGGCCGUGGACGCGUCGCUCAACCGGUCGCCCAGCGUGAGGCAUACAAUGACGACCGCACCGCACCGUGUGGCCGCUGCCCAUAGGAUGGUCCGUUCCAGCGCGCCCGGCACAUAAUCUUUGAGGGUGCCCGACGCGAAUGCACUGGGGCGAGCGAGCAUCUGCUCGACCAGGCCACACUUGCUCUGCAGGCGCGGCAGCACGUCUAGCCACAGCCACGCUGCGCCUGUGCGCUUCCAGGCGGGUUCGUCCUGCGGGCAGAUGUGCAUCACGGUGGCGGCAGUUGCACGCUCGGCGGGGCAACUGGUCUCGUCGACGUGCACCAGGGCGUGACAGGGCGACGUUGGUCCGGUUGUGAGAACGUCGACCAACACAGUGCGCGUGCGCGGCGACGCGUGCCACAGGGACAAGAGGUCGUCCCGAUCAAGCCAUGCGAUGGCCGACGCAGCCAGCGCGACAUUGCAGCGCCCCAAGAGGGCGACCAUGCACCCGCGCGGCGGCCUUCUGGGACCGGACCACGGUGUCGGCCAACGCGCUGACAGGCUGUCGUCGCAUUCUCCCUUAGAGACAGACGCCGAGCGCGCGCCACUCACAAUGGGCGCGUCCUUGACGAGGGCCUCGAUGGCGUCGCGCUGGCCGGCAGCGCAAAAGGCCCCCGGCAGCGCGUCGUCGACCGCGAUGGUAUCGUUGCUGUCGGCACACGCAACAAUGUGCACAGCGGGUUGGCCCUUGUGCGUGCCACUGUCGCCCUCGUCGCUGGCGACCGUUUGUGCGGUCUCCAUCGAGACGCUUUUUGGCUCGUCAGUCCUUUUUUUCCAACUCUGUGCGGCACGCGCGACGCACAGACUCUUUUUCAGUCUUGGGGUUGCCAACAAACUCGACGAGGACAAAAUGUGCAGUGUCAAAGAAAAAAACUGUGCAGACGCCGGCCCAGCAACUUUCUGGGCACACUUGGGCGCUUGCGACUUUGUAUUUUCUGUUUCCGUGCUUUGGGGGGGGGCUGCGAUGCGGCGCCAUUGGCCAACCCCAACAAAAGGCCAGGCCCGGACGCCAAGACCAGACCCUCAAUGCAUCGACCAGCCACCGACGGCUGCGACCAUAGUCUGCCCAAAAACUAGAGAAAGGCGUCAAAUAUAAAAGAAACCAAUCGCGAAAAAGGG